AUUGAACGCUGGCGGCAUGCCUUACACAUGCAAGUCGAACGGCAGCACGGGGGCAACCCUGGUGGCGAGUGGCGAACGGGUGAGUAACAUAUCGGAACAUACCCUAGAUGGGGGAUAACGUAGCGAAAGUUACGCUAAUACCGCAUACGAUCUAAGGAUGAAAGUGGGGGAUCUUCGGACCUCAUGCUCAUGGAGUGGCCGAUAUCUGAUUAGCUAGUUGGUGAGGUAAAGGCUCACCAAGGCGACGAUCAGUAGCUGGUUUGAGAGAACGACCAGCCACACUGGAACUGAGACACGGUCCAGACUCCUACGGAGGGCAGCAGUGGGGAAG
rnacentral:rRNA from 1 species